rnacentral:tRNA from 1 species
CGGGACGUGGCGCAGCCUGGUAGCGCACACGCUUGGGGUGCGUGGGGUCGGAAGUUCAAAUCUUCUCGUCCCGACCA